rnacentral:rRNA from 1 species
AGUGAACGCUGGCGGUAGGCCUAACACAUGCAAGUCGAACGGCAGCACAGUAAGAGCUUGCUCUUACGGGUGGCGAGUGGCGGACGGGUGAGGAAUACAUCGGAAUCUACUUUUUCGUGGGGGAUAACGUAGGGAAACUUACGCUAAUACCGCAUACGACCUACGGGUGAAAGCAGGGGAUCUUCGGACCUUGUGCGAUUGAAUGAGCCGAUGUCGGAUUAGCUAGUUGGCGGGGUAAAGGCCCACCAAGGCGACGAUCCGUAGCUGGUCUGAGAGGAUGAUCCGCCACACUGGAACUGAGACACGGUCCAGACUCCUACGGGAGGCAGCAGUGGGGAAUAUUGGACAAUGGGCGCAAGCCUGAUCCAGCCAUACCGCGUGGGUGAAGAAGGCCUUCGGGUUGUAAAGCCCUUUUGUUGGGAAAGAAAAGCAGCAGGUUAAUACCCCGCUGUUCUGACGGUACCCAAAGAAUAAGCACCGGCUAACUUCGUG